rnacentral:rRNA from 1 species
CCCGCUGAACUUAAGCAUAUCAAUAAGCGGAGGAAAAGAAACUAACAAGGAUUCCCCUAGUAACUGCGAGUGAAGCGGGAAAAGCUCAAAUUUGAAAUCUGGCAGUCUUUUUUUUCUUCUUUGGCUGUCCGAGUUGUAAUCUAGAGAAGUGCUUACCUGCGCUGGACCAUGUAUAAGUCUCCUGGAAUGGAGCGUCACAGAGGGUGAGAAUCCCGUCUUUGACAUGGACUGCCAGUGUGUUGUGGUGUGCUCUCAAAGAGUCGAGUUGUUUGGGAAUGCAGCUCUAAACGGGUGGUAAACUCCAUCUAAAGCUAAAUAUUGGCGAGAGACCGAUAGUGAACAAGUACCGUGAGGGAAAGAUGAAAAGGACUUUGGAAAGAGAGUUAAACAGUAUGUGAAAUUGUUGAAAGGGAAACGCUUCAAGUCAGUUAUGUUGGCUAGGGAUCAACCCAGCAUUUUUGCUGGGUGAAUUUCCUGGUCUGACAGGCCAACAUCAGUCUUGACUGCUGGAAAAGAGCAGAGGGAAUGUGGCACCUUUGGGUGUGUUAUAGCCCUUCGUCAUAUGUGACAGUCGGGACUGAGGGAUGCAGCAUGCCGUGAGGCUGGGUUUUUUUUUACCACGUUUCAUGCUUAGGAUGUUGGCUUUUAAUGGCUUCAAUCGACCCGUCUUGAAACACGG